UGCCAGACUCCUACGGGAGGCAGCAGUGGGGAAUAUUGCACAAUGGGGGAAACCCUGAUGCAGCGACGCCGCGUGAGCGAUGAAGUAUUUCGGUAUGUAAAGCUCUAUCAGCAGGGAAGAAAAUGACGGUACCUGACUAAGAAGCCCCGGCUAACUACGUGCCAGCAGCCGCGGUAAUACGUAGGGGGCAAGCGUUAUCCGGAUUUACUGGGUGUAAAGGGAGCGUAGACGGUCCUGCAAGCCAGAUGUGAAAGCCCGGGGCUCAACCCCGGGACUGCAUUUGGAACUGUAAGGCUAGAGUGUCGGAGAGGCGGGCGGAAUUCCUAGUGUAGCGGUGAAAUGCAUAGAUAUUAGGAGGAACACCAGUGGCGAAGGCGGCUUGCUGGACUGAAACUGACGCUGAGGCUCGAAAGCGUGGGGAGCAAACAGGAUUAGAUACCCCUGUAGC
rnacentral:rRNA from 1 species